UCGCCUUCGCGGCGGGGGAGCGGUACCGCGCCCGCUUCUACGGGCUGAUGCUGCUGUUCGCGGCGGCGAUGGCGGUC
rnacentral:tRNA from 1 species